rnacentral:lncRNA from 1 species
CAGUCAAACAAGUUCACAUAAAUUGAAACGAAGAGAGUAUGUUAUUAGUGGCUAACCAACCGUGCACUUCCCCGUAGCCGGCUCAAAACUGGCUAUCCCACCCAAUUUUCCCUGUCCGGUGGCCCAUUGACAGCUCGUUUUCCUCUUAUUCAUAAUCCAGUAAUCCACCAUAACAGAUAAGUUCUGAGCACUCACUCGCACCCCGCACAUCUCUUACUCUUUCUCUAUGCCUUCAACUAGGUAUUUAAUCCUUCUUUCUGUUUCGAUUUUUUUUUUCGCCUUUGUGUUUUUGCGGAAGUAGGGCUAUUUUUGAAGCCUUUGUGCAUUUGUUAUUAUUCAAUUUUAUGGUCUUCGCCUUUACAACUAUUUGUCGACUUCCACAAUGUAAUAAUCUUGUAACAUUGGAAUUUAGGGGGUUUAAAUAUGAUAGUUGUGAAAGUAAUGUUGUUGAAUCUGCCAUUUUGAAGCAUUUAUGGGGUCAAAUUUAAGUUUAUUCUAAAUUUUGAAUAACAAAAGUUUAGAUUUUAAAAAAUUCAAUUAGUUUCGAUUCAAUUGCUUCUUAUUAGUUUUAUGCAUCCUAAUGUAAUGUAAUAUCCAAACCAUCCAGUUAUUUCAAGCUCAACAUUUGAAAUACACUCACCUGACAGAAUAAAUUGAGUGUUUCUGGCCUUAUUUUGUUAUUGAAGUUUUUCUGGCUUGAGGGCUUUGGACAACUUCACCUUUUUUCCCCUUUCUUUUUGGUUACUAAGUAGAGUAGGGGCUAUUUGAAUGUACAAUUUGAAUGGGUACAAUUGAUAGGAAGGUGUAUAGGUCGAGAAUUAGGGUAGAAGGUUAGUACGUAAUCGAGAGUGUUUCUUCCCCACACCAGUAGUAUUAGUAGUUAGUCUUCUAUUCUAUUAUUGUUAUAUCUUUAUUACUACAUCUUUUGCUUUGUUUUCUUAUUAUAUUGAUGUUGUUACUGUUUGUUGGUAGUGCUUUCUUUUUAUCUUUCCUUGAGCUGGGGCUCUAUCGGAAACAGCCUCUUUACCCGCAAGGUAGGGGUAAGGUCUGCGUACACGCUACCCUCCUCCCACUAUUAUACUGGGUUUGUUGUUGUUGUUUUCCCCCUUUCUUUUUGGUUACUAAAUAACGUAGGGGCUAUUUGAAUGUAAAAUCAACUUGAAUGGGUACAAAAUAACUGUAGUUUAUAGUAUAUGAAACCACGAGGAGCAUUACUAAUGGUUUGUGUUAGCCAUAAAUUCAUAUAGUUGUACUGCAGGGUUACGGAGACAGGAAAGUAUUUCUUUCCAUGCAUAAAGACAAAGUUCUAUUGUAUUGGGGAUUUGCCAUAUUAUUUACUAAUUACUGAUGGUAGAAUACUUCCAGCGUCUGCAUCUGAUAUUCAUUCAGUUGUAUAUGCAUUUGCUUUGUUUAGGCUACGUUUGUUUCUAAUACUUCUCCAUAGAGUUUGUGGAUUUUUCGUCUGCUUGGUCUUUAACCCCCAUUCCCUGUGGUUCUGUCCGAUUUUCUUUUAUGUAGAACAUCUCCAAGGGCUUGAAUAUGAUCCUAAAUGGGUGCUCCUUAAGCCUCUCCAAGUCCUAUGGAUCUGCAUCAUCAAGCAGUUCACUACUGCUGUCUUCUAAGGUUGUAACCUCAUGUGUUAGACGUUCACCAGCACCUCAUCGGUACUAGCUGACAUCCUGCUCCAAAGGUGUGUAUGACAUCUUUGUGCUGAUCCUUUUGCCUGUCAUUAUUUCAGUAUGUAUUUAUGAUUUAUAAUAAAUGUGUUAUUGAAAUGGUGGUUGCUGUUGCAUCAUAUGCAAUAACUGCAACAAAAAUAGAAUGAUAUUUCGUCUCUUAAUGAGGGGGCGAAGUCCUCAGCAGGCUAUAGCUCUUUAGCUUGAGAAAGCUGAUUUUUACCAAAGAAUAAAUCUGAUUUUUAUGUUGGUUCUGUGUAGCUCGUUUUGUUUCUAUUUAAUGAAGGGUUCAAUCAUUGGGAUCUCCGCUCAUUAAGUGCAUUUUUUUUUCCUUUUACAACCACUUCUUUUUUCUUAAUUGGUAUGAUUCAUUGACUUUCGAUUAAAGAUUCCUGUGAAGAUGACAUUUUAUCACUACUCUAUUCAUUACCACCGCAUGAUCAUUAAAGACAUAGUUCAAUUAAAGAUCCCUGUGGCAUUUUUCACUGCUCUAUCAAACUACCACCGUAGGACCACCACAAUCACGAACCUCCACCACAUAUCCAUGACCGCCAACCACCACUAGUGAGUAGUGACAACCUUCACGNN